rnacentral:rRNA from 1 species
GAGGGAAACGUUACUGAUAAUAACUGGAUAAGUUAGUAUAUCGCAUGAUAUGCAAAUGAAAGCUACGGCACUAAAGGAGAGCUUUGCGUCCUAUUAGCUAGUUGGUAAGGUAAGAGCUUACCAAGGCGAUGAUAGGUAGCCGGCCUGAGAGGGUGGACGGCCACAAGGGGACUGAGAUACGGCCCUUACUCCUACGGGAGGCAGCAGC